rnacentral:rRNA from 1 species
AGCGAGCGUUAGCGGCGGGCCUAACACAUGCAAGUCGAGCGAGAAAGGGGCUUCGGCCCCGAGUACAGCGGCGGACGGGUGAGGAACACGGAGGUAAUCUGCCCUUCGAUGGAGGACAACGGUCCGAAAGGACCGCUAAUACUGCAUACGUUCCUCGGGUCCUCGGGCCUGAGGAGGAAAGCCUCGCAAGGGGCGACGGAGGAGGAGCCUGCGUCGCAGCAGCUAGUUGGGGGGGUAAUGGCCUACCAAGGCCAAGACGCGUAGCUGGUACGGGAGGAUGAUCAGCAACACUGGGACUGGGGCACGGCCCAGACUCCUACGGGAGGCAGCAGUGGGGAAUAUUGGACAAUGGGCGAAAGCCUGAUCCAGCCACGCCGCGUGAGUGAUGAAGGCCUUCGGGUCGUAAAGCUCUGUGGGGAGGGACGAAUUGCCGGGUGAAGAAUCCGGAGUGACGGUACCUCCUUAGCAAGCACCGGCUAACUUCGUGCCAGCAGCCGCCGUAAAAC